rnacentral:rRNA from 1 species
UACAGAGGUCUCAAGCGUUGUUCGGAUUCAUUGGGCGUAAAGGGUGCGUAGGUGGCGCGCUAAGUCAGGUGUGAAAUUUCGGAGCUUAACUCCGAAACUGCAUUUGAUACUGGCGUGCUUGAGGACUGGAGAGGAGACUGGAAUUCAUGGUGUAGCAGUGAAAUGCGUAGAGAUCAUGAGGAAGACCAGUGGCGAAGGCGGGUCUCUGGGCCGAUACUGACGCUGAGGAGCGAAAGCGUGGGGAGCGAACAGG